rnacentral:sRNA from 1 species
AGAGCGCGGAGCGCGCAGCGCGGGCCGGAGGGAGGGAGGGAGGGUGGGCGAAGGGAGAGGACUUGAACACACGGGACCGGACAGGACCGACCGAGGGGCGGCGGCGAAAGGCAGAGCGCCGCGAUCUCUGUCGGGAAGCGCAACCUCCCCGGGCCCCGCGGGGCCGCGCAGGGGGCGUCCUCAACCCCGCGCCCGCUCCCUCUUUCCAUCCCCUGCCGCCCGCAGGCCACCCCGGGGCCCGGCCAUCCGCGCGCGCAUCCCCGGGUUCGGGCCCGUCCCUGGUCCUCGAGGGAGCCGCCGCCUUCAUCGCCACAUCUGCAGCGGCCGCACCAGAGGCCGCCCGGGCGGGACCCCAGCGUGAGCAUCGGGCGCCCCCCUAGGAGUGCACCACCCCCGGAGCCCCCCUCAACACGGACCGCGCCCGCCGGGCACACAAGAAUGGUCACUGCCCAGACCCCGCAGGCCG